GCCAGAGCCAUAUUACUCUGCUGCUCUUGACUGGUUUCCCACUGAAGCUAAAUAGGGUUGAGCCUGGCCAGUACCUAGAUGGAGACCUCCUGGGAAAAACUAAGGUUACUGCAGGAA
rnacentral:rRNA from 1 species